GAUUCCUGGAGGCAGGAUUUCCAUUUCCAACUGAGGUAGAGACAGGGAAGCAGGGUGUAAUUCUACUCUGACCUUGUCUCCAAGCCCCUGAGCCGAUGACUGAUCCGGGAACUUAAUAAACAAGGAGGUGAACCAGAAAAGCCAAGGAAUCCCAACAGGAACAGUGAAUGAGGGAAAAUGAAAUAAAUACAGGAAGACAGGAAAAGAGAUUCGCACGGUCCCCUACCAGCAGAAUCAACAUCAGCUGCUGUGCUGGUUCAUCCUGUCAACGCCAUCACCAUGGAAACACAUCUUCAGGGAGGUUAGGAGAGAUCCUUUAGACUGACUGAGGUGGAAGACCCACCCUCCAUGUGGGCGGUGCCAUCCCCUAGGCUGGGGUCCUAACUGACUACAAAAGGGGGAAGUCAGCUGAACACCAGCGUCCGUCUCUCUGCUUCCUGCCUAUGGACCGUGCCUCACGCUCCCGUGGUGACCAUGCUUACCCCACCAUGAUGGACUGUGUCCCCUGGUCCUUAACUUGCUUAUGGAAAGUGUUUUGCCACAGCAAUGAAACUAGUAAGCCAAGGGACCUAGCAGAAAUGUGGAUUCCUAGGCCCCACCCAGACCUGCUGAAUCAGAACCUCUGCGAACUGGGCCCCGGAAGUAAAAUUUACUGCCUCGUCACGGUAAUUCUGAUGCUUGCCUGGGUGUCACGACCACACUGCCUUAAGAGAAAGGUGGAUGCACUAGAAGUGACAAGAAGCAAGAGGAAACAAGGCUGUGUGUGUGUGUGUGUGUGUGUGUGAGAGAGAGAGAGAGAGAGAGACAGAGACAGAGACAGAGACAGAGACAGAGACAGAGCGUGUGUGUGCCUUGUAAACCUGUAUAGAGGUCAGGGCUUGAUAAUGGGCUAUCUCCCUCAAUUGCUUUGCCAUCUUACAUUUUUGUUUGUUUGGUCUGGUUUUUCACAACAGGGUUUCUCUGUGUAGCAGCCCUAGCUGUCCUGGAACUUGCUCUGUAGGUCAGACUGGCCUCAAACUCACAAAGAUCCUCCUGUCUUUGUCUCUGAGCGCUGGGAUUAAAGGUGUGUGCUGCCACUGCCUGGCUUGCCAUCCUGCUUUUUGCAAGAGGGUCUCUCAUUGAUCCAGGAGCUCACUUUUUUGACUAGACUAGCAGGCCAGCAAGCCGUGGACUAUUCCUGUCUCUGUCCCUCGGGGCUGGGAUUACGGAUGCACGCACACUGCCGUAUCCCUCUUGAACUUGGGUGCUGGGCAUCCGAGCUCAGCUUUUCAGGCUUGUGUGGUCAAAAACUUUACUCGUUAAACCAUCUCCAAAGUCCC